rnacentral:tmRNA from 1 species
GGGGAUGUUCAGGUUUCGCCAAAGUAUCAUAGUAUGUAUAAGCAUGUCUUGGUUGCUCAAGUGAAAAAGCCGAGGUUUUAAAUAACCGGAAAUCAAACAUAUCAAUUAGCUGCUUAAGAAAAAGUAGCGCGCAAUAAUUUGUUUACUUACGAUAUCUUAUUGCCACAUAAUUAGUAAGUUAUAUUUAAUGUUUGAUCUUAACAUUAAAUGAAUUAUAAAGAUCUAGUAAUAUUAACUUUUGUUUAUUUAGUUAAUGUUAUGAAAAAUAUAAAUAAACUAAACAUGUAGAAAGUAUAUAUGAAAGUAUUUUGCACAGGGGUUCGAUCCCCCUCAUCUCCACCA